CUUUCGCCCGGGACGAAGCGAGAGUGACGGUACCGGGAGAAGAAGCACCGGCCAACUACGUGCCAGCAGCCGCGGUAAUACGUAGGGUGCAAGCGUUGUCCGGAAUUAUUGGGCGUAAAGAGCUCGUAGGCGGUGUGUCGCGUCUGCCGUGAAAACCUGCGGCUUAACCGUGGGCGUGCGGUGGAUACGGGCACACUUGAGUUCGGUAGGGGAGACUGGAAUUCCUGGUGUAGCGGUGGAAUGCGCAGAUAUCAGGAGGAACACCAGUGGCGAAGGCGGGUCUCCGGGCCGAAACUGACGCUGAGGAGCGAAAGCGUGGGGAGCGAACAGGAUUAGAUACCCUGGUAGUCCACGCCGUAAACGGUGGGCGCUAGGUGUGGGAUGCUGUUCACGUGUCCCGUGCCGUAGCUAACGCAUUAAGCGCUCCGCCUGGGGAGUACGGCCGCAAGGCUAAAACUCAAAGGAAUUGACGGGGGCCCGCACAAGCGGCGGAGCAUGUGGAUUAAUUCGAUGCAACGCGAAGAACCUUACCUGGGUUUGACAUGCACUGGACCGGCGUAGAGAUACGCCUUCCCUUGUGGCUGGUGCACAGGUGGUGCAUGGUUGUCGUCAGCUCGUGU
rnacentral:rRNA from 1 species